rnacentral:rRNA from 1 species
UACGUAGGGGGCUAGCGUUGUCCGGAAUCAUUGGGCGUAAAGAGCGUGUAGGCGGCUCGGUAAGUCCGCUGUGAAAGUCCAGGGUUCAACCCUGGAAUGCCAGUGGAAACUGUCGAGCUAGAGUCCGGAAUGGGCGAGUGGAAUUCCUGGUGUAGCGGUGAAAUGCGCAGAUAUCAGGAGGAACACCAAUGGCGAAGGCAGCUCGCUGGGACGUGACUGACGCUGAGACGCGAAAGCGUGGGGAGCAAACAGG